UACGUAGGGUGCGAGCGUUGUCCGGAUUUAUUGGGCGUAAAGAGCUCGUAGGCGGCUUGUCGCGUCGUCUGUGAAAUCCCGCGGCUCAACCGCGGGUCUGCAGUCGAUACGGGCAGGCUAGAGUGUGGUAGGGGAGAUCGGAAUUCCUGGUGUAGCGGUGAAAUGCGUAGAUAUGCGGAGGAACACCGAUGGCGAAGGGCAAUCCCCUGGGCCUGCACUGACGCUCAUGCACGAAAGCGUGGGGGAGCAAACAGG
rnacentral:rRNA from 1 species